rnacentral:misc_RNA from 1 species
GUUCCUAGUAAAAAUUUGCCAAUCCAGUAAAGGAGGCCAGGUCAAGCCUUGGCAAAACGAAAAAAUCGCCAUUUUUUAACCAAAAUUCACCAUCAUGCAAUUCCAAGGAACAAAUAUUUCUUCAACUUGCAAUUCUAGUCUUACGAGAAGCAAAUUUUUUCUCCAUAUUUUGAGCUUGGUUAUCCCAAAACAAAAUAAGUUUGUGCUACAAGGUAACCAUGGAACAGUUUAUGUCCCAACUCCUAAUGAGGAAUUAAAUUGCCAUAUGGUUGACUAACCUUUUCUUUCUCAUUUUCCUCACAUUAUCUAAUCACAAGAUAAAUGAACCAGAAAUAAGCACUAACUUUUAGCUUUGUUGACAAAUCAACAGAUUUCAGUUAGCAUCAGGUCAUUUAAAACUAACCAAAGG